rnacentral:rRNA from 1 species
UACGGGGGGGGCAAGCGUUGUUCGGAAUUACUGGGCGUAAAGGGCGCGUAGGCGGUCAGACCAAGUCGAGUGUGAAAUUCCAGGGCUUAACUCUGGCACGCUCGCUCGAUACUGGUCGGCUAGAGUGUGGAAGAGGAUGCUGGAAUUCCCGGUGUAGCGGUGAAAUGCGUAGAUAUCCGGAGGAACACCAGUGGCGAAGGCGGGCAUCUGGGCCAACACUGACGCUGAGGCGCGAAAGCUAGGGGAGCAAACAGG